rnacentral:rRNA from 1 species
GUGCCAGCAGCCGCGGUAAUACGGGGGGGGCAAGCGUUGUUCGGAAUUACUGGGCGUAAAGGGCUCGUAGGCGGCCAACUAAGUCGGACGUGAAAUCCCUCGGCUUAACCGGGGAACGGCGUCCGAUACUGGAUGGCUUGAGUUUGGGAGAGGGAUGCGGAAUUCCAGGUGUAGCGGUGAAAUGCGUAGAUAUCUGGAGGAACACCGGUGGCGAAGGCGGCAUCCUGGACCAAAACUGACGCUGAAUAGCGAAAGCCAGGGGAGCAAACGGGAUUAGAUACCCCCGUAGUCC